rnacentral:lncRNA from 1 species
GAAAACAAUAGCAUCCUUCUGUCAUCUCAUCCCAACUGAACUAAAUUGAUCCUCUUACCUGAUUCAGCUAAUCCUGUUGUCUCUAAUCCAAGCUUAGAAAUGAGCUGCAACAGUAGUUACACAAUCAGCCUUUCUGAUCAUGUAAGGCUUUGAAAUCUGAGGAGCUGGAUCCCACUUUUUAUACAUUUUUCUUCCAGUAUUACUUUGUGUUAAUUGCAUCCUUCACUCUUCUCUUUUCAUCUUUAACUACCCUUCACUCUCAUGUCUCUCAUCGCUCCGGUGCUCUUCUUGCCUCCCUCUCGCCCUUGUCUCGUGCUGUUUUGGCCCUUGACUCAGCCCAUCUGUCCUUGUGCAGCAUUGUGCUCUCCAACAAGUCCACCUCACACAGUGCCACAUUCCCCCAAGUGAAUUCAUGCGAUCGCUAAUCACCAACAUGGACUUUCGCUCUCUAGAAGUGAGGCUCUUCAAAGCGAAGGUAAAGUCCUAAAGGUCUGUUAGUUGUGUUCAGCAAAAACCUCACCACAUGUCUACACUGCUGAAUUUGUUUUCAGAAGGUGCACUUGAUUACCCACAUGCAACAUCAGAUUAACUCUCACAUUAGCCACAUUCAUGCCACAAACACCACCUCUGCCACUCUUUCAUGGCUCCGCGGGUAUAAUUAUAAUGAAAUAAAUAC